rnacentral:rRNA from 1 species
GGAUUAGAUACCCUGGUAGUCCACGCUGUAAACGAUGUCGACUUGGAGGUUGUGCCCUUGAGGUGUGGCUUCCGGAGCUAACGCGUUAAGUCGACCGCCUGGGGAGUACGGCCGCAAGGUUAAAACUCAAAUGAAUUGACGGGGGCCCGCACAAGCGGUGGAGCAUGUGGUUUAAUUCGAUGCAACGCGAAGAACCUUACCUGGUCUUGACAUCCACGGAAGUUUUCAGAGAUGAGAAUGUGCCUUCGGGAACCGUGAGACAGGUGCUGCAUGGCUGUCGUCAGCUCGUGUUGUGAAAUGUUGGGUUAAGUCCCGCAACGAGCGCAACCCUUAUCCUUUGUUGCCAGCGGUCCGGCCGGGAACUCAAAGGAGACUGCCAGUGAUAAACUGGAGGAAGGUGGGGAUGACGUCAAGUCAUCAUGGCCCUUACGACCAGGGCUACACACGUGCUACAAUGGCGCAUACAAAGAGAAGCGACCUCGCGAGAGCAAGCGGACCUCAUAAAGUGCGUCGUAGUCCGGAUUGGAGUCUGCAACUCGACUCCAUGAAGUCGGAAUCGCUAGUAAUCGUGGAUCAGAAUGCCACGGUGAAUACGUUCCCGGGCCUUGUACACACCGCCCGUCACACCAUGGGAGUGGGUUGCAAAAGAAGUAGGUAGCUUAACCUUCGGGAGGGCGCUUACCACUUUGUGAUUCAUGACUGGGGUGAAGUCGUAACAAGGUAACCGUAGGGGAACCUGCGGUUGGAUCACCUCCUUACCUUAAAGAAGC